AUGGCUCAGAACGAACGCUGGCGGCGCGUUUAAGCAUGCAAGUCGAGCGGCAAGGGCCUUCGGGCCCCUAGAGCGGCGGACGGGUGAGUAACACGUGGACAAUCUGCCCCCCGGCCCGGGAUAGCCCAGGGAAACCUGGAUUAAUACCGGAUGAGACGGGACCCGCGAUGGCGGGAUCCGGGAAAGGCGCUGCGGCGCCGCCGGGGGAUGAGUCUGCGUCCCAUUAGCUAGACGGCGGGGUAACGGCCCACCGUGGCGACGAUGGGUAGCCGGCCUGAGAGGGUGGACGGCCACAUUGGAACUGAGACACGGUCCAGACUCCUACGGGAGGCAGCAGCUAAGAAUCUUCCGCAAUGGGCGAAAGCCUGACGGAAGCGACGCCGCGUGAACGAAGAAGGCCGUGAGGUUGUAAAGUUCUUUUCGGGAGGGGAACAACCGUGGCAGGGAAUGGCCGCGGGAUGACGUGAAUCCCGGAAUAAGCCCCGGCUAACUACGUGCCAGCCGCCGC
rnacentral:rRNA from 1 species